rnacentral:rRNA from 1 species
UUAGAUGUCCGGGGCCGCACGCGCGCUACACUGAAGGAGACAGCGUGUGUUCUCCUGGUCCGGCGGGACCGGGUAACCAGCUGAACCUCCUUCGUGAUAGGGAUUGGGGAUUGUAACUGUUCCCCACGAACGAGGAAUGCCUAGUAGUCGCGGAUCAUCAGUCCGCGACGAUUUGGUCCCUGCCCUUUGUGCACACCGCCCGUCGCUACUAGCGAUUGAAUGGAUUAGUGAGGUCUUCGGACCGGCGUUCUGUCCCGGACCUCGGUCCGGGGGGUCCUGCCGGAAAGAUGACCGAACUUGUCCGUUUAGAGGUAGUAAAAGUCGUAACAAGGUUACC